rnacentral:rRNA from 1 species
CCACGGGAGGCAGCAGUGGGGAAUAUUGGACAAUGGGCGAAAGCCUGAUCCAGCCAUGCCGCGUGUGUGAAGAAGGCCUUCGGGUUGUAAAGCACUUUCAGUGGGGAAGAAAGCCUUGGGGCUAAUACCCUCGAGGAAGGACAUCACCCACAGAAGAAGCACCGGCUAACUCCGUGCCAGCAGCCGCGGUAAUACGGAGGGUGCGAGCGUUAAUCGGAAUUACUGGGCGUAAAGCGCGCGUAGGCGGUCUGAUAAGCCGGUUGUGAAAGCCCCGGGCUCAACCUGGGAACGGCAUCCGGAACUGUCAGGCUAGAGUGCAGGAGAGGAAGGUAGAAUUCCCGGUGUAGCGGUGAAAUGCGUAGAGAUCGGGAGGAAUACCAGUGGCGAAGGCGGCCUUCUGGACUGACACUGACGCUGAGGUGCGAAAGCGUGGGUAGCAAACAGGAUUAGAUACCCUAGUAGUC